AAAUAUGCCAGUUUGCUGGUGAAAACAAGGAGGGGUGUGCUGCAGAAAGCCGAAAACCAGCGUUAACUACCGUGCUAUAAACCUUAAAGUGGAUGGAUGGCCAUUUAAAAGGAGAGUGGAAGGAUUGAUUCCACAAGUAACUUAUCUUCUAUUCUUGAGGAUGAGAAUUCAGUUUACAGAACCUGCAAACUGGACUCAUUGGCAGCACUUGAAGAAUUUACAAGCUUGUACAAUGGAAUUUAUUGGCAGCAUUUUACUGCUUUGUGUGAC